GCCCCGGUAGUGUAGUCCGGCCCAGCAUCUAGGCCUUUCGAGUCUAAGACCCGGGUUCGAACGAGUUGAUGAUUUUUCAUCUCUUCGAAAAUCCCGGCCGGGGCACCA
rnacentral:tRNA from 1 species